AAUCAAGUGCCUUAAGGGUGUUCGGUGGAUGCCUUGGCGCUGAGAGGCGAUGAAGGACGUGCUACGCUGCGAUAAGCCUGGGGAGCUGCGAAGAAGC
rnacentral:rRNA from 1 species